ensembl:lincRNA
UAAAUAAAAUCUUUAAAAAAAAAUAACAUUCUUAGAAAUUUCUUGACUGUUUUGCAAACUAACUUCACCUCCUUUCUUCGUUUUUUUUUUUUUUUUUUUUAAUUCUUGAAGUUGUGGAGUCACCAUUGAGCUGCAGGACUGGUUCCUGGGGCAGGACGAAAUUUCCCAGAAGAAUCAAUGGAAUGAAGCGGAUUCAUCUGGAGCCGGCAAGUUAUCAAUGACUCACAGGAGGGAGACGAUAAGGAGGCCCUCGAGAUAAAUUCAUGUGGUAAUUAGUUACAUGGACACCUGUAUUCUUCGGCUCUCUCUCAGUGCUACCAUUGCAUUAGAAACUUGCGAUAAUUAUCAAUAGCCAUCUUAAAUAUGUGACGUUGACUCCACCACCAAGGGGUAGAAAGUGAGAAGAAGAGAAGAUGAAUUGUAAAAAUUAAAACUGUUAGUGCGGAAAAUAGCACUAAACUGGCUUUCAAUUAUCAAAAUGCCUGGCAAGCUGAAAUAAGACCAAAAUCUCCAUUUAGAACUCUGCUG